CCUCGUCAGGUACUCAUUUUAUUUUACGUUCUAGGUUUAGUCACGUAUAUUAUUGGUAUUUAUAUAGCGCCAACUAAUUCUGCAGCACUUGUAUAUGGAUGAUAGUAUCUUGCCUAAACAGGCUUUUUGUAUAGCCCACAAUUUCCUUUUUAGUCUGUAUGUAGCAACAGCUGUGGCUGCUUCAGUAAAAGGAAAACACAAAGAACCAUACUGCCCA